rnacentral:ncRNA from 1 species
GAAAUCCCUCAAGUGGAAGCUCUCAAACUCAGGGAAACCUAAAUCUGGUGACAGACAUGGCAAUCCUGAGCCAAGCCCAGAAAUUUUAGAUUUGCGAUUUUAGAUUUACGAUUAGUCUUCAAUCCAAAAUUCAAAAUCGAGGGAAGGUGCAGAGACCCGACGGGAGCUACCCUAACGUUAAGCCGAGGGUAAAGGGAGAGUCCAAUUCUUAAAACCUGACUUUGCUAAAGCCAUCAGGUAGCAGUGAAAACUGCGGGAGA